rfam:Valsa mali strain 03-8 chromosome 10, whole genome shotgun sequence.
GGCAACAUGGCCGAGCGGUCUAAGGCGCCAGACUCAAGUAUUCGUACUUGCUCACUUAAAAAAGUGGGUAGUAUUCUGGUCUCGAAAGAGGCGUGAGUUCGAACCUCACUGUUGUCA